GAUGAACGCUGGCGGCGUGCUUAACACAUGCAAGUCGAACGGAAAGGCCAGUGCUUGCACUGGUACUCGAGUGGCGAACGGGUGAGUAACACGUGGGUGAUCUGCCCUGCACUUCGGGAUAACCUUGGGAAACUGGGUCUAAUACCGGAUAGGACCACGGUCUGGAUGCUGUUGUGGAAAGUUUUUUCGGGUUGGGAUGGGCUCGCGGCUUAUCUGCUCGUUGGUGGGGUAAGGGCCUACCAAGGCGUGGCGGGGUAGCGGGCCGGAGAGGGUGUCCGGCACAUUGGGGCUGAGAUACGGCCCAGACUCCUGCGGGGGGCAAGAGUGGGGGAAAAUGCAAAAUGGGGGCGAGCCUGAUGCAAGGAAGCCGGGGGGGGGGUGACGGGCUUCGGGUUGUAAACUCCUUUCGCUAGGGACGGAACGUAUUUGUAACGGUACGGGGAGAGGAGGAACCGGCUAACUACUG
rnacentral:rRNA from 1 species